rnacentral:rRNA from 1 species
ACCGGGUUGAUCCUGACAGUAGCAUAUGGCUCACUGAUUUAGUGAUGGUUCCUUUGAUGGCUCUACCUGUCACUUGGAUGACUGUGGUAAAUCUGCUGCGGUUACAUGCCAACAAAUGCUGACCUCCAGAGAUGCGUGCAUUCAUCAGACCAAGACCAAUCCGGGCAUGCAUGGCCAGUUUGGUGACUCUAGCUAAGCUUGGUCAGAUCGCACGUCCCCCUGAUGGCAACAAUACAUUCUGUUGUCUGACCUAUCAACUUCCAAUGGUACUUCCUGUGCCCACCAUGGUGAUUAUAGAUAAUGGGGAAUCCCAGAGAGGAAGCCUGAGAAAUGGCUACUAUCUAAGGAAGGCAGCAGGCGUGCAAAUUACAUAUUUAUGACGCAGGGAGUUAGUGACAGAAUUUAAUAACACAGGACUCUUUCGAGGUCCUGUAAAUUGAAUGUGUACAGUUUAAAUCCUUUAAAGAUGAUUCAUUGGAGUUGCUGCUCCUGAAAAGCUUGUAGUUCGAUCUUGUGAUGGAGCUGGCAGUCUGGUGUGAGACGCUCUAACGUCUGUCCCAGCCCCUGUAUCUCGGCACCCCUUUGAUGCUCUUGACUUAAUGACCUGGGCGUCUGAAGUGAUUACUUUGAAAACAUGACAUUGUUCAAAGCAGUCAGGUCACCUGAAUCCUUUAGCUAGGGGCAUGAUUAAAAGGGAUGGACGGGGGCAUUUGUAUUGUGAUAUUCUUGGACCGUCGUACUUAUGACUUAUGACUAUAAAGAAUGGCAACGAGUGAUCUGCAGUGUUAUUCCCAUGACCUGCCGGGCAGCUUUCGGGAAAAAAAAGUCUUUGCAUUCCAGGCCGGGUGGGUUGCAAAGCUGGAACUUUAAGGAAAUGACAGAAGGGCACCACCAUGAGUGGAGACUAUGGAUUACUUUGACUCAACAUGGGAAACCUUACCCAGCCCAGUCACGGAAAGGAUUGACAGAUUGAAAGCUCUUUAUCAAUUCUGUGUAUGGUGCUGCAUGGUGAUUCUUAGUUGGAGGAGCAACUUGUCUGGUUAAAUCUGAUAACCAUCAUGACUCCUUCAUGCACAAAAGUUUCACAAACCCCAGCGGUCAGCAUUCAACUUCUUAGAGGGACAAGUAGUGUUCAGCCACACAAGAUCAAGCAAUUACAAGUCUGUGAUGCCCUUUUAUAUCCAGGGGUGCACGUGAUCUCCACUUAAUGGAUCAGUGUGUUUAUAACCCUCCCCAACAGGUGAGGGUAUCCUGCGGAACAAAGUUUAUGAUAGGGAUUGGGAACUGCAAUUAUUUCCCAUGAACGAGGAAUUCCUAGUAAGUGAUGAUCAUAUACUCAAGCUGAUUAAGUGAGCACAGUUUGUACACACUGCACAUCACUACUGUCAAAUAGAUGUUUAAGUGAGGUCCUCGGAUCAGCCUCACCGGAGUUAGCAACAUCCCUGGCAGAGCAUCAAGAAGCCAAUCAAACUUGACUAUUUAGAGGAACUAAGAGUCACAACAAGGUUUCUGUAGGUGAUCCUUCAGAAG